ACGACCAAAAGUUGGGUUUUCGCCAUUAAAAUAUUGGAAAACUCUCCAGAAGUUGGGUUUGGGUCAUUGGGGUCAUGGAGGACCUUCCAAACUGGACAUUGGUCAUUGGACCAACCAAAGUUGGGUUUUUAAGGUCAUUAAAAUCAUGGAGAGAUGUCAAAAGUUGGGUUUGGGUCAUCAAGGUCAUGGAGGACCUUCCAAAGUUGGGUUUUGGUCAUUGGACCAACCAAAGUUGGGUUUUUAAGGUCAUUAAAAUCACGGAGAGAUGUCAAAAGUUGGGUUUGGGUCAUCAAGGUCAUGGAGAAGACUCCAAAGUUGGGUUUUUGGUCAUUGAACGACCAAAAGUUGGGUUUUCGCCAUUAAAAUAUUGGAAAACUCUCCAGAAGUUGGGUUUGGGUCAUUGGGGUCAUGGAGGACCUUCCAAACUGGACAUUGGUCAUUGGACCAACCAAAGUUGGGUUUUUAAGGUCAUUAAAAUCAUGGAGAGAUGUCAAAAGUUGGGUUUGGGUCAUCAAGGUCAUGGAGAAGACUCCAAAGUUGGGUUUUUGGUCAUUGAACGACCAAAAGUUGGGUUUUCGCCAUUAAAAUAUUGGAAAACUCUCCAGAAGUUGGGUUUGGGUCAUUGGGGUCAUGGAGGACCUUCCAAACUGGACAUUGGUCAUUGGACCAACCAAAGUUGGGUUUUUAAGGUCAUUAAAAUCAUGGAGAGAUGUCAAAAGUUGGGUUUGGGUCAUCAAGGUCAUGGAGAAGACUCCAAAGUUGGGUUUUUGGUCAUUGAACGACCAAAAGUUGGGUUUUCGCCAUUAAAAUAUUGGAAAACUCUCCAGAAGUUGGGUUUGGGUCAUUGGGGUCAUGGAGGACCUUCCAAACUGGACAUUGGUCAUUGGACCAACCAAAGUUGGGUUUUUAAGGUCAUUAAAAUCAUGGAGAGAUGUCAAAAGUUGGGUUUGGGUCAUCAAGGUCAUGGAGAAGACUCCAAAGUUGGGUUUUUGGUCAUUGAACGACCAAAAGUUGGGUUUUCGCCAUUAAAAUAUUGGAAAACUCUCCAAAAGUUGGGUUUGGGUCAUCAAGGUCAUGGAGGGGGGGGGGGGGGGGGGGGGGGGGGGGGGGGGGGGGGGGGGGGGGGGGGGGGGGGGGGGGGGGGGGGG
rnacentral:lncRNA from 12 species